GGCAAGAUGGCCGAGUGGUUAAGGCGGCAGAUUGUAAGUCCGACAGAGCCGAGAUCACAAAAGUUAUCAGCCAUUAACAUUAGAAUAGUAAGCCCUGCUGGCGAAAGCUUCGCGAGUUCGAAUCUCGCUCUUGUCA